rnacentral:rRNA from 1 species
UACGUAGGGGGCAAGCGUUGUCCGGAUUCAUUGGGCGUAAAGAGCGUGUAGGCGGCCAGGCAGGUCCGCUGUGAAAACUCGAGGCUCAACCUCGAGAUGUCGGUGGAAACCGUCUGGCUAGAGUCCGGAAGAGGAGAGUGGAAUUCCCGGUGUAGCGGUGAAAUGCGCAGAUAUCGGGAAGAACACCCGUGGCGAAGGCGGGUCUCUGGGCCGAUACUGACGCUGAGGAGCGAAAGCGUGGGGAGCGAACAGG